rnacentral:rRNA from 1 species
CCCUUAGAUGUCCUGCGCUGCACGCGCGCUACACUGAUGCGUCCAAUAAGCACCUAACCUAAUCCGAAGGGACCGGGUAACCUUAGCAAAGCGCAUCGUGAUGGGGAUAGAUUAUUGCAAUUAUUAGUCUUGAACGAGGAAUGCCUAGUAAGCGUGAGUCAUCAGCUCACGUUGAUUACGUCCCUGCCCUUUGUACACACCGCCCGUCGCUCCUACCGAUUGAAUGUGCUGGUGAAAAGUUCGGAUUGGGAAUAGGAGACGGCAACGUAUCCUGUUUCUGAGAAAAUCUUUAAACCCUCCCAUUUAGAGGAAGGAGAAGUCGUAACA